rnacentral:rRNA from 1 species
UGGGGAAUUUUGGACAAUGGGCGAAAGCCUGAUCCAGCAAUGCCGCGUGUGUGAAGAAGGCCUUCGGGUUGUAAAGCACUUUUGUCCGGAAAGAAAUCCUUGGCUCUAAUACAGUCGGGGGAUGACGGUACCGGAAGAAUAAGCACCGGCUAACUACGUGCCAGCAGCCGCGGUAAUACGUAGGGUGCAAGCGUUAAUCGGAAUUACUGGGCGUAAAGCGUGCGCAGGCGGUUUGCUAAGACCGAUGUGAAAUCCCCGGGCUCAACCUGGGAACUGCAUUGGUGACUGGCAGGCUAGAGUAUGGCAGAGGGGGGUAGAAUUCCACGUGUAGCAGUGAAAUGCGUAGAGAUGUGGAGGAAUACCGAUGGCGAAGGCAGCCCCCUGGGCCAAUACUGACGCUCAUGCACGAAAGCGUGGGGAGCAAACAGGAUUAGAUACCCUGGUAGUCCACGCCCCCAAAACGAUGUCAACUAGUUGUUGGGGAUUCAUUUCCUUAGUAACGUAGCUAACGCGUGAAGUUGACCGCCUGGGGAGUACGGUCGCAAGAUUAAAACUCAAAUGAAUUGACGGGGUCAUA